GAAAAUGUUCAAUUUAGUCAAAUUGUUACUUCCACUGGUAGAACGGAAUACAAAACUCAAUUCGGGAGAGGGAAAGUGCUUACCUAUCAAAAGUCCACUAGAGGACUCUUUUAUUUAGACUUGGCUGCGUCAAAUGGAUCUAUGAAGCUGAAUUUAGGGCUGGACGAGCUGGAUGAUCUGUUUACACUGAGGGGGCACCUAGAGUCCCUAACGGCAUACUUUCCACAGCCGCUCUCCCAGCCACAUGAGCAGGUUGUGCCUAAAGAAAAUGUAGCGCCGGUUUAUGCACCGCCACCACCACCAACACCUUCCGCACCUCUAACAAUAAUAUAUGAAAACGAGACGUCAACUACCACUCCACUUCAAACUAUAACAGACCCGAUGUGGAGCAAAGGAAAUAUGAUUCCGGUGAGGGUGGCCGCAAAGAGACCGAUACGUGAAGAAUUACACCCACAGUGGUCUGGGAAGAAUACAAAAUAUGAACAGAUUUCCCCUGUGAAAAACAAUUUAUAUGAUCUCUCUGAGGAGGAAAUGGGAGCCUUUUUCCAAUCGAUGUGAUGAUGCUCAAUGUGGUGUGACUUUCAUUCAAUGUGGUGUUUAUAGGAAUAACAUUUAUAAAUUUCAUUACGGACAUAUAUGCAAACAGACUGACACGGCAUUCUACCUCCUGUUUGGUUUAACGGAUGAUGGUUGGCAACAUGGGUGAAUAAAGAAUCAACAUCAUCAAAGGAGACAUCACAGCGUCUACAUAAAAAUGCUACCCAAUGUCUUCCUGGUAAGCCUGCGACAUCUGUAUUGGCUAUCACACCCAUUCCUGGUAGUAGGUGAACUUGAGACAGUUCAUCAGAUGAGAAUACACCAAGAACAGAUCGUUGUAAGUCAACGUCUGAAACAAUGGCACACUUGAGCUGGAACAUAAUGCGGAACUUCGAAAAUGUUUGACCAGUUUCCCAUAGAGGCUGCACUUAACCUUCGAAGAAGUGGCUUUUGUUCUCCAUCGACAAUAGAUUCACCACAAAUAUUAGAA